GAUACAUAGCUCAGGUGGUAGACCAUGAGACUCUUAAUCUCAGCUUCGUUGGUUCAAGUCCCACAUUGGGCAAACG